UACAGUAAGUUCUUAUUGUCCAUAGUGAAAAUCACUGACUUGGUCCCGGAGUUUUUAACCCUGUAAUGGAUUUCCUCCGUCAACAAAACAUGUGUUAUUUACAGUUUUAUUUGCUAUUGUGGCAAUUCAACAUAAGAUAGAAUUGAUUUGAUCGACAAAACAUCUAGAACAACUAAAAAGUGACUCGUUGCUUUUAAUUGAUAAUUUUAAUUUCACGUUAUUCACCCCCUUUAGUUGAUUUUAGGAUCGAACUAGUAACUUUCAAUCUUGUUAUUUUUACAACCAUUCUUGUUUUGCAACCUUGGAUUGCCACUAGCAACUCCUUAACUCCCCUAUUCAAUUUGUUUCUCAACUUUUUCCAUAUUAUCAGAUCGAUUUUCGUGAAAUGGUGUUGGGAUUUGAUGUAUUUUAGCAGCUGGGUUUCGAUAUAUAUGUGAACAUUGGUGUAAAUUUGUUAAAGAUAAGGUCGUUCUUUUAUAGACCGCUUGGUUAACUUCGGGGUUGAUUUUCUUGAACCGUAACGGGAUUUGAUGAAUUUUAUCAGCUGGUGAUGUCUUUGGAUUAUGUGAUUCUUUGUGUAAUUGUUUUUAAUAUAUUUGGAAAGCUAGAUAAGUAGGACUGGCCGCCGAAAUAUAGAAAACUAAAUUUUAUUCAUCGAUGGUGCAGUAAUAAUGUAUACCAAGGAUGCAUUUGGAAAUUUUGAUUGUAGUUUUGAUAUGCAUUGGUUGUGGUGCUUUCAAAAAAUGAUGUUAGCAGGUCGAUUUUUCUUGAAACAGGAUAGCGAUUUGAUGAAUUUGAUCAACUGGACCAUCUUUGAAUUAUGUGAUCUUGGUGUAAUUGAUUUUCGUUAUAUUUUGUAAGCUAG
rnacentral:lncRNA from 1 species